rnacentral:rRNA from 1 species
CCUGAACGCUGGCGGCGUGGCUAAGACAUGCAAGUCGCACGGGGUAGCAAUACCCAGUGGCGAACGGGAGAGUAAUGAAUCGCUAACGUACCCCGGACUCUGGGAUAGCUGCCCGAAAGGGCAGGUAAUACCAGAUGAUAUAUUCCCUUGGCAUCUUGGGAAUCUCAAAGGUCCGCCGGUCUGGGAGCGGGCGAUUUCGUAUCAGCUAGUUGGUGAGGUAACGGCUCACCAAGGCGACGACGCGUAGCCGGACUGAGAGGUUGGCCGGCCUCAUUGGGACUGAGACACUGCCAGACUCCGUACGGGGGCUGCAGUAACGAAUCUUCCGCAAUGCACGAAAGUGUGACGGAGCGACGCCGCGUGUGGG